rnacentral:tRNA from 1 species
GUAUUAGUAGCUUAAUUUAAAGCAUCGGUCUUGUAAUCCGAAGAUCGGAGGUUAAACCCCUCCCUAAUGCC